UUCCUUCCCUCUGCUAGCUCAGGUGUCCGCUGUGGGAUCCAAAGUUUGCUGGGAGAGCAGUGAUAAAACUUUUAACUUCCAAUACUCCAAGUGCAGCAGACAGCAGAGAUGUGCAUUGCUGGAAUCCAGAGGGUUUCGUAAUUUGGCAGCCGCUUGCUGAAAGCCCUGCAGAUACAAAACAACAUUUAUUUCAAGUCUUGAGAAACAUCUCCUACUAAGUAGAAGAAAAAAGCAUUUAGUGGGAUCCUCAAGCUGUAUGCAAAAGGGAAGGAGACGUGCCUGGAAAUGCAUUAUCCAAGAGAUACAGAAACAGCUUUUUGACAGGCUGCUCUUCCUGCUAACACCUGGUAAACGCAGAGACCUGGCUCCAUGAAAUACAUCCCUGGCUCCAGCACCCAAUCCCUUCUGGCACUCUGAAGAGGAAGAGAAAAUUGCAGAUCUGCAGCUAUUAAGACCAACAGGCAAAUAUUUUAUUCAAACUCAACUUCUUCCUGGGUCACUCUUAAAGAAUAUUUUUCUGGUUGUGAGAUUGUGAGGAUGUGAACGAGGGUUGUGUUUGUUUGUUUGUUUUCCUGGAGACUCUCCUAUUCAGCUGAUCUUCCACAUUUCAGGCAGCAGAGCUUGCAGCAGUGACAAGCUGUAAUCCCGAGGAAAACUGCUUGUGCCUGUGGCCUGGGUUAACCUGCUGGCAGUGAUACGUGCCUGGGCAGGGGCAGCUGUUUCACUCAGCUCAGCACGGACGUGCUGCCACUCCCAGCCACUUUUAGGACACAGGUGAGUUGUUUACAGCAAUCUCAAAAAAACUUGUAAUAAAGUUGUUCUGCCUUCCUGGAGCCACCACUCCCAGAGACCUUUCCCCUUUCUUGGCUACUGCGGGAGUCUCCUUCCUUGGCUUCACACCUUUAUCAGCUAAAAAUGAUACAGUUCAGAACUGGUUGUGGUCAGGCUCUGUCCCAGGAGGAGGGGCUACACUGCCACUCUGUUGUGGCUGCUGAGAACGAACGGGAAGAUCAGAGAGGACAACGGGGAAGUGGAAGCCUGCUCCCUUUUUUAUGUGGAAUGGAGUCAGGAUAUGCCCUUGUAUGAAGUUCAGCAGAGAAAAACUUGGGCUGCACUCGCAUUCCUACCCACCGUGCCAUUCCAGUCAGCCUGGUACUAAUCUCGACGGAUCUCUGAAGGCAUGAAACAACAUGCAGUGCAAAUGAAAUCUGAGCCACGCCACACCACAGUACUGGUGCCAGCCAGUUUUAGAAGACUGCCAUGAGAGCCAAGGGAAACAGGUACAAUGGUAGAAGAUGCCUUGUACCACCUGCAGGCACAGACCUACAGCACUCCAGCAGCUCGUGAGGCAAGUGAGAAGCUGGUGAACCCAGGGCCACUUCGACUUGAAUGCUCCUUCCUGAGAAGGAAGUGGCUUUUCCCUUGGAAAGCUCAACUCCCCAGGGUCUGCAUGAGGUCAAUGGAAAAAGUGAUUUCUUCAGAAUAUGAUUCAGAGUGCUUAAGCACAGGGCUUAUCUUAUUGACUACAAAGGAAGCUCAACCUCUGUAGAUUUAAACUCACUUUUGAGAAUAAUCAUCCCCUCUUGCCCCUUAGUUGUGGGAGUUAUACUAGAUCUGGAUGUUGUUAGUCCUUGGAAGGCACACUACCUACUGAAAUUCAGGUGCUGCAGACCAAAGCUAAGAGAAGCUUGUCUCUACCAGAGCAUAGUGUCCUGUUGGAUCCUGCUUUGUCCUUUGAGUUACCAUGGGAUGUCAGAAACGGAUUUGCAAGUACCAGAAAAGAAAAUUAAAUCAAGAAAGGUUGGUUUCUUCAUGGUUGUCCUGACUGGAGCUGGAAUAUUCAGCAUCUGUUUCAUUUUAACUGAGUUUUCAUUCUGGCCUUUCUCCCCUUUCAAAGUACAGGCAACUGAAGCCUUUAAUUUGCCCUGUCUUUCACUGCAGAGAAAAACAAGGGUUUCUAACAGCUGUUACUCUCCUGUCUAGAAUAGCUACACUAGAAAAAGACAGUUUAUUGUCUGUGAAUGAAAAAGCUCUUGCUUGUUUCUGUUGUUUGUCGUGUUGACUUUGAAAGAUAAAUUGUUUGAACUGG